rnacentral:sRNA from 1 species
GCCAGGCCGAUUGAGGCGGUCUAUCGAGGGGAUAGGGGAGGCGCCGGGUGAUCUUUCUUUGUUGAAACGACCGUUCGGUGUUAUAGUGAACGGUGUUUGAUAACCAAUGACUGCCUGGCGACUGCCCAUGAUCAGACAACGAACCCUGAAGAACGUCAUCCGCGCCACCGGCGUCGGCCUGCACUCCGGCAAGAAGGUCU